rnacentral:rRNA from 1 species
GAUGAACGCUGGCGGCGUGCCUAAUACAUGCAAGUCGAGCGAACGGACGAGAAGCUUGCUUCUCUGAUGUUAGCGGCGGACGGGUGAGUAACACGUGGAUAACCUACCUAUAAGACUGGGAUAACUUCGGGAAACCGGAGCUAAUACCGGAUAAUAUUUUGAACCGCAUGGUUCAAAAGUGAAAGACGGUCUUGCUGUCACUUAUAGAUGGAUCCGCGCUGCAUUAGCUAGUUGGUAAGGUAACGGCUUACCAAGGCAACGAUGCAUAGCCGACCUGAGAGGGGGAUCGGCCACCCUGGAACUGGGACACGGUCCAGACUCCUACGGGAGGCAGCAGUAGGGAAUCUUCCGCAAUGGGCGAAAGCCUGACGGAGCAACGCCGCGUGAGUGAUGAAGGUCUUCGGAUCGUAAAACUCUGUUAUUAGGGAAGAACAUAUGUGUAAGUAACUGUGCACAUCUUGACGGUACCUAAUCAGAAAGCCACGGCUAACUACGUG